AUUGAACGCUGGCGGCAUGCCUUACACAUGCAAGUCGAACGGCAGCACGGGAGCAAUCCUGGUGGCGAGUGGCGAACGGGUGAGUAAUAUAUCGGAACGUGCCCAGUCCGUGGGGAGUAACGUAGCGAAAGCUACGCUAAUACCGCAUACGAUCUAUGGAUGAAAGCGGGGGAUCGCAAGACCUCGCGCGAUUGGAGCGGCCGGAUAUCAGAUUAGGUAGUUGGUGAGGUAAAGGACGUCACCAAGCCGACGAUCUGUAGC
rnacentral:rRNA from 1 species